rnacentral:rRNA from 1 species
UACGUAGGGGGCUAGCGUUGUCCGGAUUUAUUGGGCGUAAAGAGCGUGUAGGCGGCCAUGUAGGUCCGGUGUGAAAACUCGAGGCUUAACCUCGAGAUGUCAUCGGAAACCAUUUGGCUAGAGUCCGGAAGAGGAGAGUGGAAUUCCUGGUGUAGCGGUGAAAUUCGUAGAUAUUCGGAAGAACACCAGUGGCGAAGGCGGCUCACUGGCCCGGUACUGACGCUGAGGUGCGAAAGCGUGGGGAGCAAACAGG